GCGGACGUGGCGGAACUGGUAGACGCGAUAGGUUUAGGACCUAUUACUUGCAAAAGUGUGAAGGUUCGAGUCCUUUCGUCCGCA
rnacentral:tRNA from 1 species